AGCAUGGAGUUGGGGCUGAGCUGGAUUUUCCUUGUUGCCCUUUUAAAAGAUGUGCAGUGUGAGGUGCAGCUGCUGCAGUCUGGGGAUGCUCUGGUGAAGCCUGGGAGGUCCCUGAUCCUCUCCUGUGCAGCCUCUGGAUUCACCUUCAGUGACUACUGGAUGAACUGGAUGCGCCUAGCUCCAGGCAAGGGGAUGGAGUGGGUUGGGGAAAUUAAUAAAGAUAGCAGUAACACAGACUAUACACCAUCCUUUAAGGAUCGAUUCACCAUCUCCAGAGACAAUGCCAAGAACACUCUGUACCUGCAAAUGAACAGUGUGAGAUCUGAGGACACUGCCACUUAUUACUGUGUAAGAUCCACAGUGAGGGGACCUCAGUGUGAACCCAGCCAUAAACCUCACUGUGACGAUGGAGGGAAGGGGGCAAUAUAUGAGGACAUUGGCAAUGGGCCCAAGACCUAA